rnacentral:misc_RNA from 1 species
GAUGAAGAACGUAGCGAAAUGCGAUAAGUAGUGUGAAUUGCAGAACUCAGUGAAUCAUCGAAUCUUUGAACGCACAUUGCGCCCCAUGGUAUUCCGUGGGGCAUGCCUGUUCGAGCGUCAUUUACCCCCUCAAGCUCCGCUUGGUGUUGGGCGUCUGUCCCGCUUCGCGCGCGGACUCGCCCCAAAGGUAUUGGCAGCGGUCGUGCCAGCUUCUCGCGCAGCACAUUGCGCUUCUCGAGGCACCGGUGGGCCCGCGUCCAUCAAGCUCACCCCCCCAGUUUGACCUCGGAUCAGGUAGGGAUACCCGCUGAACUUAAGCAUAUCAAUAAGCGGAGGA